rnacentral:rRNA from 1 species
GAUGAACGCUGGCGGCGGGCCUAAUACAUGCAAGUCGAGCGAACGGACGAGGAUCUUUCUCCUCUGACGUUAGCGGCGGACGAGUGAGUCACACGUGUAUAACCUACCUAUAAGACUGGGAUAACUUAGGGAGACCGGAUCUAAUACCAGAUAAGAUAUUGAACCGCAUGGUUCAAUAGUGAAAGACGGUUUUGCUGUCACUUAUAGAUGGAUCCGCGCCGCAUUAGCUAGUUGGUACGGUAACGGCUUUCCAAGGCUACGAUGCGUAGCCGACCUGAGAGGGUGAUCGGCCACACUGGAACUGAGACACGGUCCAGACUCCUACGGGAGGCAGCAGUAGGGAAUAUUCCGCAAUGGGCGAAAGCCUGACGGAGCAACGCCGCGUGAGUGAUGAAGGUCUUCGGAUCGUAAAACUCUGUUAUUAGGGAAGAACAAAUGUGUAAGUAACUAUGCCCGUCUUGACGUUACCAACUCAGAAAGCAACGGCUAACUACGUG